GUCCCUUCAGGCAGUGGUUCACUGCAGACCUGUCUGACUUCUUGCAACUGCAGUUAGUUUAGACUAAGAAUUGGAAUAUCUUCAUCAGUACAAUUCACUUGGGUAGUUGCUCUCCUCAACUGUGAUGAGAGUCCACAUAAGUCAGACUGUACAGACAGACUGUAAAACAAGAUCCCAAGAACUUGGCCAACUGAUGUCUGAAGAGGACUUAAAUGCCAGGACCACCACCUGCAGUAUGGGCUGACUCCCACAAUGUGGAAGAAAUCCAGAACAUCAUUUCAGAUUAAUUUCUUGACAUCUCAACUUUGUCCUGCACCCCAUCCACCAACACAGAACAUACUCAAGAGUAACAAAGAUAUUUCUGGUGACACACUGCAGCCAUGGGAAAUUGGAAUGCAAGUCAUGCCAUAUCUACUGACAGCUCAUAAAGUACUCCACAGCAGUGCAGAAGAUGUAUUUUCUAUGCCUGAAGAUCAUGUUAGCUUGGUCCGGGUUUUGCUAAAUAGUACUGAACUUUUGGCUGUUUAUUCCCAACUCUGUGAUGUCAGCUGGCCUCCCUGGAAGCCAGACUCCAAUUGCGGCAACCAUUCUGUACACGCACAUUGCAUGGAAAGAGUUACCUAGUAAUAAAAAAC
ensembl:lncRNA